rnacentral:lncRNA from 1 species
AUGGGGGUCACGGGGGGCACGGGGAGCCCCCAGGACGCAGGAGGCUCCGGGAUGCCGAGGCUGUGGCCACUGAGCGGAGGCUCCAGCCCUGUGGCACCGUGGGGUUCACGGGGACGUGCGGGCAGGGAGGUACCGGGGUCCUGCGUGGCGAGGCGUGGCUGGCCGGAGAGCCCCCCAACACCUGCAGCUCUUCUAGGGAGAACCCGACCGAACCGGGCUGGCGACGGUGUAGCAGUGACAGUGGUGGCGGGGGCAGGACAGAGGGCAAGCAAGGGCGCCUUGGACACGCAGAACCGAGCCACGAGGACAGGGUGGAGGGAUAAAGAGGGGGAGGCUGAGAAAGCCCCUCAGUCCCUCCCCGGCCAUCCCUUUGGGGCCAUUCCAGAGAUGGCGACAUCCAGGGGCGACGUCCAAGUGCCCUGUGCCGACCCAUUUGGAUCCCGAGGAGCCGGCCGUGGGUGCCCUCCCUCGGCGACCCUGGUGUGGCCCCCCACCCGGCGGCGGUGUCCCGGGGAGCCUUGGGCUGUCCUGGGUCCCCACGGCCAGGUCCCCAUAGCCAGGCAGGUCCCCACAGUCAGGCAGGUACCCGCAGUCUGGCAGGUCCCCGCGGCCAGGCAGGUCCCCGGGCCAGGCAGGUCCCCGCGGCCAGGCAGGUCCCCGCAGUCUGGCAGGUCCCCGCGGCCAGGCAGGUCCCCGCAGUCUGGCAGGUCCCCGCGGCCAGGCAGGUCCCCGCAGUCUGGCAGGUCCCCGCGGCCAGGCAGGUCCCCGCGGCCAGGCAGGUCCCCGCAGUCUGGCAGGUCCCCGCGGCCAGGCAGGUCCCCGCGGCCAGGCAGGUCCCCGCAGUCAGGCAGGUCCCCGCGGCCAGGCAGGUCCCCGCCGCAGGAGUGCGCGCCCACCGGGGAGCCGCGGCGGCCUCACGAGCCGCUGACCGCAUCCAAGGCGCGGGGACCCGUGCGGGCGGCUGUUUUCCUGGAAGCUGCCUGUUUUCACUUUCUUUUCAGACUUGAAUUUCAAGCGCGCCCAGGGGUUUGCUGUUAAUAAGUGGCCUUCCUAACCACACGGCCCGUCACUUCUGCGAGCAGCGGUCUGCGGCGGAGGGCUGGGGCGCCCGCGUGUCCCGCGUGUCCCGUCCGCUCCGCGGCCGCACCUGGGCCCAGGCUGCACCGAGAGGGAAGGAGCGGCCGGGACCGUGAACAGACGCCGGGCUCCGCUGGCCGCAGCCGCAGGACGGGGAAGCUCUGAGCCCAAGUCCUCCUUCCUGUCCACGUCUGUCCACCCGGCCUGACAGAUGGACUAGACCGGGCUCGCGCCGCACCCGCCUCGGCCUGGGUCUCGGGCCCGAGCGGUCCCCUCGCGGGGAGCAGCAGCCAGGUCCCCCGGGGCGGCGCCUCUGGACGACACGAGCCUCCACACCCCCCGGGGCCGUUUUAAGUGGGUGCUGGUGACAUUCCUUGGCUGGAAAACUCUUUUUGGGGGUUGGGAGGACCUUAGCUUAGGUCCGCUUUUCACGAAGUCCGCUGUGCUGCUGGCCGCAGCUGCGAGUGUUCUUUCCCGCUGUAUUCCUCUGUCCCAGGCUUCGCGGCCGGACGUGAAAGUAUCUGUCUUCCAGCCCCGAUUUGUCCUUCCUCCAGCCUGUCGGGCAGAUGGGACACGGUGACCGGAACGUCCUCCCUAUUCGUUUAUCAUCCCUCAUCUUUGUCACUUUUUUUUUUUUAAGACAUUUUAUCUAUUUAUUCAUGAGAGAGGCAGGGACACAGGCAGAGGGAGGAGCAGGCUCCUGCAGGAGCCCGACGUGGGACUCGAUCCCGGGACCCCGAGGUCACGACCUGGGCUGAAGGUGGCCCUAAGCCGCCGAGCCACCCGGGCUGCCCCUAUCUGUCACUUUCUGAUUCCUUCCCCCCCUUCCUCAUGGUCACCGGGCUUCCCCGCUUCCGGCCGCCUGGCGACACGCGGUCGCCCUUGCUGCCAACUCUCCGCUGCUGGCCGUGGCGGUCGGUGCUGCGACAACUACUCGGCAGCUCAGCCCCGGCCGGGCCGCAGCUCGUUCCCUGGGGACAGUCCCUGGGCUGGUGUCCCUUGGCUUCGUCGGGCGGAAGCAGCGCGGCGCACGGUCCGGGGUUGGGUGAGGGUGCCCCGGCCGUCGGGGUCCCCAGCUCGGCUGGCCCCGGGUGGGAGCUGCUGGCCACCUCCUUUGGGUCCGCAUGGACGUGGGAGGCCUUGCGAGCGCAGACAGGCGGCCCGGGGCCCCUCCCCGAAGGCAUCUGUCUGCAGGGCCGCCCUUCCCUGCACACCACGUGCCUAGCAGGUGCCCAGCGGGUCCCAGCAGACGCCCAGCAGGUCCUAGCAGGUCCCAGCAGGUCCCAACAGGUGCCCAGCAGACACCCAGCAGGUCCCAGCAGACGCCCAGCAGGUCCUAGCAGGUCCCUCUAGGCGCCCAGCAGGUCCCAACAGGUCCCAGCCAGCAGACGCCCAGCAGGUCCUAGCAGGUCCCACUAGGCGCCCAGCAGGUCCCAGCAGGUCCCAACAGGUGCCCAGCAGACGCCCAGCAGGUCCCAGCAGGUGCCCAGCAGGUCCUAGCAGGUCCCACUAGGUGUCCAGCAGGUCCCAACAGGUCCCAGCCAGCAGGCGCCCAGCAGGUCCUAGAAGGUCCCAGUAGGCGCCCAGCAGGUCCCAACAGGUGCCCAGCAGGACCCCAGCAGGCGCCCAGCAGGUCCUAGCAGGUGCCCUUCCAUGGGGCUCACUGCCGCCCUGGGCCCCCACGCAUGCCAGCCGUGCUGACGUGGCCUGCCCGCCGUGCCCCUGCUGUGUGUUGGCCCGCGUGGGUGUCUGUGGGGCCUCUGCCCUGACCGCCACUCUCCUGCUGGCCCCGAGCCGGUGGCUGGUUUGUCCUAGAGACUUUAUUUUCGGGCUCGUGACAGGGAGUCGUGACUUGCAGGAUGCGGGAGAGGGCUUCCGCCCCCGGGCUUGGAAUCACACGCGAGGCUUUGCGUGUCCAUCCCAUGGACAAUUUGCCCUGCACGACUGAGAAGGCCUCACGUCUCAACGCCGCGCAGGCCCUGCCGCAUGUGCCUCCUACCGCCGGGGUGUGCGUGGGGCGGGGGGGCGUUCAGGGCCUUUAAGGUGGGAUCACAUCAGGUUCCUUAAGUAGGGACACGAUCCAGGCCAAACCCUAUGGGUGAGUGAGACUUGAACGGAGGCCCCGGGCACACUGUUCCCACCCCGCGUGAAAAUUCACACAGGGCUUCAGGCCAACGCAAGGCAGCAAGUCGCGUCGCUGGAACCACCUGUUGAACCCCGGCUGGAGCUGCAGUGUCUACACCCAUCCCUUCCGUUUACUAGGAGAUCAGAGCAGAGAGUGGGGUAGUGGGAAGCCAAGCGGGCAGUAGUGUGACAGUCACUUUGGGUCAACUUGAGCACCUGGGGCGCCCACUUCUUUGUCACAGGCUGGCCUCCUGGUUGCUCUACCUUUAUCCAGGGAGGGGCUGCUUGCCUCGCGCUGGCUUCGGGCCCCAGGGGGCCGCUCACGGAUCGUCCGGGGGCUCCUGCUGCGCUGAAUUUCAUGAGGCAUAUGCCAGCCUCUACUUUUUUUUAAAAAAAUAAUGUUAUUCAAGCUCCUUAUAAGCCACAACCUGGAAGACCUCAGCUGCGUCCAAUGCUUUUGCAGCAUAGGGGGCAUAUUUUCCAGAAAGCACUUGUGUCCCUUUGAGGACACCUGUCUGGCAGUUUUGGAGAAAAUGGACCAAAGAGCCAACUUAAUACCCAAGCUUUGGGGUUUGCCACAGUCAUGGAAAACAUCAAGCACGAGGAGCAGUGGAGUCUGAGACACCAGAUCGUAAGCAGGGCUCUUGUACCACCUUGAUGGACUCCGUGCUGCUGAGGUCCCGAGGGGCAGCUGUGCUAGUGGCUUCUAGUUAGGCCACCCCGGUCUAAAAGGUGAUAGUAAUUUAACAUCCCCUACACCUAGGACUCUAACCUCCUGGGAUAAGACACUGCUUGAGUGCAGAAGUCACGUCAAAGGACCAUCCAAGGGGCUCCCAUGCGUCUCCGAAUGUGUCUGUCAAACACCAAGUGUGGGGUGUACAUGGCCAAGAGGCCUGGGCUUCGUGGCCUCCAAGCUGGUGCUAUUUUAGGAGGAGGCGUAGGGAGGCUCCCUGGCCUCUGUAAUUGCAGAGUUGGAAACAAGAAUGUCAACCGAGGAAGGGCUGAGCGGAUUAUGGGCAUCUGUACAGUAUGGCGUCAUUUAGGAGUUGGGUCUACAGGUUCUGACCUAGGAAAGCAGGACAUGCUUGGUGAAAUGUCAUGAGAUAUCCUAUGUAAUUUUUUUUUUUAUGACAGUCACAGAGAAAGAGAGAGACAGACACAGGCAGAGGGAGAAGCAGGCUCCAUGCAGGGAGCCUGACGUGGGAUUCGAUCCCGGGUCUCCAGGAUCACGCCCUGGGCCAAAGGCAGGCGCCAAACCGCUGCGCCACCCAGGGAUCCCCGAGAUAUCCUACGUAAAAUAAAAAUCACACCUGCUGCAAAUCA